GAUGAACGCUAGCUACAGGCUUAACACAUGCAAGUCGAGGGGCAGCAUGGAAGAAGCUUGCUUCUUCUGAUGGCGACCGGCGCACGGGUGCGUAACGCGUAUCAAACCUGCCUCAUACUCGGGGAUAGCCUUGCGAAAGUAAGAUUAAUACCCGAUGUUGUUAUGUUUCCGCAUGGUGAUAUAACCAAAGAUUUAUCGGUAUGAGAUGGUGAUGCGUCCGAUUAGGUAGUAGGCGGGGUAACGGCCCACCUAGCCAUCGAUCGGUAGGGGUUCUGAGAGGAAGGUCCCCCACACUGGAACUGAGACACGGUCCAGGCUCCUACGGGAGGCAGCAGUGAGGAAUAUUGGUCAAUGGACGGAAGUCUGAACCAGCCAAGUAGCGUGCAGGAUGACGGCCCUCCGGGUUGUAAACUGCUUUUAGUUGGGAAUAAAAAGAGGGACGUGUCCCUUCUUGUAUGUACCUUCAGAAAAAGGACCGGCUAAUUCCGUGCCAGCAGCCGCGGUAAUACGGAAGGUCCAGGCGUUAUCCGGAUUUAUUGGGUUUAAAGGGAGCGUAGGCGGAUUAUUAAGUCAGUGGUGAAAGACGGUGGCUCAACCAUCGUUAGCCAUUGAAACUGGUAGUCUUGAGUGCAGACAGGGAUGCUGGAACUCGUGGUGUAGCGGUGAAAUGCUUAGAUAUCACGAUGAACUCCGAUCGCGAAGGCAGGUGUCCGGGCUGCAACUGACGCUGAGGCUCGAAAGUGUGGGUAUCAAACAGG
rnacentral:rRNA from 1 species